UACGUAGGGUGCAAGCGUUAAUCGGAAUUACUGGGCGUAAAGCGUGCGCAGGCGGUUAUGUAAGACAGGUGUGAAAUCCCAGGGCUUAACCUUGGAACUGCAUUUGUGACUGCAUAGCUAGAGUACGGUAGAGGGGGAUGGAAUUCCGCGUGUAGCAGUGAAAUGCGUAGAUAUGCGGAGGAAUACCGAUGGCGAAGGCAGCCCCCUGGGAUGAUACUGACGCUCAUGCACGAAAGCGUGGGGAGCAAACAGG
rnacentral:rRNA from 1 species